UACGUAGGGCGCGAGCGUUGUCCGGAAUUAUUGGGCGUAAAGGGCGCGUAGGCGGCUCGGCACGUCCGUUGUGAAAUCGCCCGGCUCAACUGGGCGGGGUCAGCGGAUACGGUCGAGCUUGAGCAAGCUAGGGGGCAAUGGAAUUCCCGGUGUAGUGGUGGAAUGCGUAGAUAUCGGGAGGAACACCAGUGGCGAAGGCGGUUGCCUGGAGCUUUGCUGACGCUGAGGCGCGAAAGCGUGGGGAGCGAUCGG
rnacentral:rRNA from 1 species